rnacentral:rRNA from 1 species
UACGAAGGGGGCUAGCGUUGUUCGGAAUUACUGGGCGUAAAGGGCGCGUAGGCGGUGUGUCAAGUCAGGCGUGAAAGCCCCGGGCUCAACCUGGGAACCGCGCUUGAGACUGGCACGCUCGAGUUCGGGAGAGGAUGGUGGAAUUCCCAGUGUAGAGGUGAAAUUCGUAGAUAUUGGGAAGAACACCGGUGGCGAAGGCGGCUAUCUGGACCGACAUUGACGCUGAGGCGCGAAAGCGUGGGGAGCAAACAGG